rnacentral:rRNA from 1 species
UACGUAGGGUGCGAGCGUUAAUCGGAAUUACUGGGCGUAAAGCGUGCGCAGGCGGUUGUGCAAGACAGAGGUGAAAUCCCCGGGCUUAACCUGGGAAUGGCCUUUGUGACUGCACGGCUAGAGUGUGUCAGAGGGGGGUAGAAUUCCACGUGUAGCAGUGAAAUGCGUAGAGAUGUGGAGGAAUACCGAUGGCGAAGGCAGCCCCCUGGGAUAACACUGACGCUCAGGCACGAAAGCGUGGGGAGCAAACGGG